rnacentral:rRNA from 1 species
AUGCAAAUCUCUUAAAGCUUCUCUCAGUUCGGAUUGCAGGCUGCAACUCGCCUGCAUGAAGCCGGAAUCGCUAGUAAUCGCGGAUCAGCACGCCGCGGUGAAUACGUUCCCGGGCCUUGUACACACCGCCCGUCACACCACGAGAGUUUGUAACACCCGAAGUCGGUGAGGUAACCUUUUUGGAGCCAGCCGCCUAAGGUGGGAUAGAUGAUUGGGGUGAAGUCGUAACAAGGUAGCCGUAUCGGAAGGUGCGGCUGGAUCACCUCCUUUCUAAGGAA